rfam:Magnaporthe oryzae 70-15 chromosome 2, whole genome shotgun sequence.
GGCUCAAUGGUCUAGAGGUAUGAUUGCUGUUUCGGGCUUAGUCAUCCCGUCUCGGAGAACGAGGUUAUAGCAGGUCCCGGGUUCAAAUCCCGGUUGAGCCC